AUUGAACGCUGGCGGCAGGCUUAACACAUGCAAGUCGGACGGUAGCACAGAGGAGCUUGCUCCUCGGGUGACGAGUGGCGGACGGGUGAGUAAUGUCUGGGGAUCUGCCCGACAGAGGGGGAUAACCACUGGAAACGGUGGCUAAUACCGCAUAACGUCGCAAGACCAAAGAGGGGGACCUUCGGGCCUCUCACUAUCGGAUGAACCCAGAUGGGAUUAGCUAGUAGGCGGGGUAAUGGCCCACCUAGGCGACGAUCCCUAGCUGGUCUGGGAGGAUGACCAGCCACACUGGAACUGAGACACGGUCCAGACUCCUACGGGAGGCAGCAGUGGGGAAUAUUGCACAAUGGGCGCAAGCCUGAUGCAGCCAUGCCGCGUGUAUGAAGAAGGCCUUCGGGUUGUAAAGUACUUUCAGCGGGGAGGAAGGCGAUGUGGUUAAUAACCUUGUCGAUUGACGUUACCCGCAGAAGAAGCACCGGCUAACUCCGUGCCAGCAGCCGCGGUAA
rnacentral:rRNA from 1 species